rnacentral:tmRNA from 1 species
GGGGCCGACUGGUUUUGACAGCGGGUUUUGUGGUAUGGUAAGCAUGUAGAGCGCUGGGAAACAGCUCUUAAAUCUCAUUUUUCACACUUUUUAAACGGCGAGAAUAACUACGCCCUAGCUGCAUAAUCUGAAUUAUAGUAAGAUUACGCCUCGGCCUACAAGGUAGGCAAGCAGGAAGUCACUCAAACACCUUGGUUUACGGUUUUUGAUAUAGUGACUUCGUAAAAGUAAACCUAUUGGGAAUAGUGCCUUGAUAUUCCUGAGACAUCUAAGUGAGGAUAAGGAGUGCGUUGGUAGUUUUUGACCGGCAAUCUCUCGAAAAUUGAAACAGAAACUAAACAUGUAGAAAGCUGUAACGCAGCACGUUUGGACGAGGGUUCGAAUCCCUCCGGCUCCACGA